AUUAAUUUGAGUAGAGAUUAUCGAAUGGUAAAAGUAUAGCGACAGUUGAGUGAAACUCUUUGUUCAUAUAUAUAAAGUAGUGGACUGGCUAAUGAGGUACCGCAGGGAAGGUGUAGGUGAAUUUGAAAUGGGAGGCCAUCGUUGCUGCAGCAAACAGAAAGUCAAAAGAGGGUUAUGGUCACCUGAAGAAGAUCAAAAGCUCAUCGGACACAUCACAUCCUACGGCCAUGGCAGUUGGAGUUCUGUCCCUAAACUUGCAGGAUUGCAGAGAUGUGGGAAAAGUUGCAGAUUAAGAUGGAUAAACUAUUUAAGACCAGACCUCAGGAAGGGUUCUUUUACACCUGAAGAAGAGCAACUCAUUAUUGAUGUGCACAGAAUUCUAGGUAACAGAUGGGCUCAGAUAGCCAAGCAUCUCCCAGGAAGGACAGACAAUGAGGUGAAGAACUUUUGGAACUCUUGCAUUAAGAAAAAGCUUCUCUCACAAGGUUUGGACCCCAAAACCCACAAUCUCAUCCCUUCUCAUCUAAGAGAAAGUAGACCAGCACCUUCAAAUUCAAACAUAAUAAUACCUCCUGAUCCAAAGCACCCAUUUCCAGUUUUCUCUGUGAGUUCACAGAUGAAAAAUUCUUUAGUGCUAGAAGAAGACCCACCUUUUUCUCAGCCUCUAACUAAUGCUAUUGGUCAAAACAUAACCAGACCCACUUCAGAUUUGAUUGUAAAAGGUCAGAAUUGCCAUGAUAUGACUACUAUUUUCCCUUGUCAUGAAUCACCACCCAUUGAGAGCAUACCCACUGUAUCCUGUUCACCAUCUUCUUCUGUGAGUACUACUGUUAAUAACCCAUCCGCAUAUGGACUUCUGGAUGAUAUUUACAACUGGGAUGCCAGUACUUUUGAUCAUGAUCAGCACAACCAAGCACCGAGAAUAUCAAUGGAAAGAGAGCAAUAUUUACCACUGAUAAAUCAUGAACAACAUGAUAUAGACAAGGAGAAGAUAUGGAAAUUGGAAUUGGACAAAGUUGAUCAUGUUAACAAGCUGCAGGGUGCUUCAUCAUUUGAGACCUCCAGCUUUGAUGAUUUUGGGUUCGUGGAGCCCACAUUUACGUCAGGAAUAAUAUGCCAUGAUUUAAGUUCGAUUUCUGAUCUUGCAUGGAAUUAUUAAGCCUUCUUGAUGUCUUAUUCUUUUUUGUCAUGUUCUUUGCUAGCUAGCGAGGAGCAGGAUUACAUGUAGUGUUCGAUGUGUGAUUUGACGGUCCGAUAAUGGAAAUCGGCAAUGAUUCGGGAAUGGAGGACGGAGAUUUUGUGGUGGAGACUUGCAUUACACAUACUCUACCCCCGGCAUUGACGCUUGAGAAGGGAUUAGAGAGUAUCAAAGAUGCUAUGGGGAAGUUGAAGCUGAAUCCUCCUUCUAUCUCCAAUGGGUUCUUUUGGUUUUAGGUACUGGAAAAUUCUGUAAGACUUUGCUGUUUUGAUACUAUGUCGUUUUGUUUGGUUUUCAUUUCAUAUGUGAUUCUGUGAGGAUUUCUAAAGGUCGCUGUGCCUUCUAGUGUGAAAGCUUUGGAUUGGUUUGCCUAUCAGUCAGAGUCUUGUGAGGUUUUCCCUCUGUUUUUAUGUCGAAGGAAAUAGAAAAU